rnacentral:lncRNA from 1 species
UCCUUUCACCCAGAAGAUCAAGCCUCUUCACCUCAUCAUUUGCCACUUUAAUACGCUGUUCCAUAUUCUGACAAUGUGAUCUAUGUCAUUCCUUCAUGUCAUGUUUAAUGAGCUUUAGGUUUUCUUUUCACAUAAAAUUCAUAUGCAAAGAUUUGUCAAACCCCUUUAUAAAAGCAUCUUGUCACAUAUUUGUCCAUAAUGGAAAAUAUCAAAAUAUAUUUUUGUAUUUUGUAUGACUUAUGCAAUCAUAAAUCUCUUCUAGCAACAACAACAUUAUCUUCUUUCCACUCUUAUUUUUCAACAUUAUUAGAUGCUAGUCACAAACCAAACAUAAACUUCCAAAAACAGUUAUAAUUUAUGCAUAGUACUAUUACUAAUAUAUUCACAUGCAUAACUGUAUAAUAUAUUUCACAUGUCAUGCUAAGAAGUUCCUACGUGUCUUGCAUAUAAGAAUUGUCAGAUAUCAUACUCUAGAGUAUGUGGUUCCUCUAUCUAUCCCGUGAUCAAACAGUGAUUCAAAUUCAAUUAUUCUUAUGCAUCCACAUCAACUAGGAACAAACUUCCAAAAUAUACUUGGUAAACUUUUUGGAUUUUUCCUGAAAAAUAAAACUACUUUUAAAUACUUAUCUAUCUAGUAGGUAUGCUUGUGUUUUUCUAUUAUUACAUUUUCAAUUUUUGAGAUACAUUAUAAAAUAUGGAUACUCAUUGGAUUAGGACUAUACCGGUACAUGUCGUUGUCUGUGUUUGUGUCCGUGCUUUAUAGGUGAUACAUAGUUGAAUAGUAAAAUCUUUUUUUUUUUACAAAAGUUGAAUAGUAUAAUCAUAUAAGAUUAUGAAAUUGUAAUAUAUUGUUGAAUAGUAAAAUAAUAUAACAUUUUGUAAUACAUUGUUUAAGAAAACAAACCUGAAACCACAUUUUUUAAUUAGUUAAAGAUUAUAGGUAUUAGCAUGAUUGCACAAAAUAGUCUUUCUUAUUUAGGUAUUUACACAAACCCUAAUUUAAUUUGAUUGUCUUUAUCAUAGACAGCUAAAGGAAACUAGUCUACAAAAUCUUAUUAUUUAGAUUGUUUUCAUAGACAGCUAGAAGAAACAAAGAGCAGUAAAAAGAUAGAGGACUAGAUUCUAUUUUUGUUUUCAACAAGUUUCUUGCACGAUAGUUAACCCUAUUUGAGGCAUUGUGUUACACUAAAUGUGAAAUUUCGUUUGUGUGCACUCAAAACAUAUCAUGUAAUUACACACUCGGUACAUUCCUGGUUCUUCGAUUAAAAUCGGACAAGUCAAAUUUCAACCUCAAUAUUAUAGAUUUUAAAAUGUAUUCAAAACCUGCAACGUCCGAUCUUAAUUCAACAACUAUCGAUGUGUCAACUGUGUUAAUGCACGAGAUUUUGACUGCAUGCAAUCCAAAUCCCUAAAUGUGGAUAACUCUCUCCCUCGGAAUUCAAAUUUUAGUUCGCCACAUUAUGGGUUACUACCUAUUCGCUAGACCCAAUAUCGGUUAGUGGAAUAGUUCAUAUUCAAACAAUGGGUAUUACUAAGUAAAGUAGAACAAGUAACCAUUUUACGGUCGUUUCUGAAGAGAUUUGAACUCAAGUUAGUUGAAGUUAAAAGAUCAAACUCUUAUUACUGAUGUGACAUAUGAUUGAGAAAUAGUGUCUUAAAUAUAUUUAUAUAGACCUUCAUUAUUUAUUUAAAAGCACAAUACAAAUUUGCAUUCCCUUCACAAGAAGACAUUAUUUCUGAAAACUCAAACCUCAUCACAAUGUCUUGGUUCCUUACAAUUCUGUUUCUCAGUCUCACAUUUGGUACUAAUUUUUCAGAAGCAAACCAUGACAACAAGAAGCUUCUUCCUUCACCUGUUGUAGUUGGCACUGUCUACUGUGACACAUGUUUUCAACAAGCUUUCUCUCUAAACAGCCACUUCAUUUCAGGUAAUCCAUUUCAACCUCAAAAGGGUACUUCAAUUUUAUAUCUCUUAAAAUGUUGUAAAAUUUUUCUAAACCUUAUCAUAUUUUAUUUUGUCCUUGUUUUUAUGUAUAGGUGCAUCAAUAGCUGUUGAAUGCAAAAUAGGAAAAACAAAACCAAGAUUCUAUAAAGAAGUGAAAACAAAUGAACAUGGAGAAUUCAAAGUGAAACUACCUUUCUUAGUGAAGAAACAUGUGAAGAGAAUCAAAGGGUGUAAUUUUAAGUUGUUAAGUAGUAAUGAACCAAAUUGUGCUAUAGCCUCAACUUCUACUUCAUCUUCACUAAGCCUAAAGAAAAAGUUGCAACAAGAACACAUUUUUUCAGCUGGGAUUUUCUCAUUCAAGCCUAUAAAAAAACCAAAAUUUUGUGACAAAAAACAUAGUAUUCAUAACCUUAAGAAACAACAUAGUUAUGUGAAAAAUUUGGAACAAUCAAAAUUUUCAAGCAAAAAUAAAGUACCUAAUGAAGUUGAAGAUUUCUUCUUUUUUCCUCCAAACCCUUUUUUUCCACCACCUAUUAUCCCUAAUCCACUUCAACCUCCACCUUUGAUUCCUAACCCUUUGCAACCACCACCUUUGAUUCCAAAUCCAUUUCAACCACCAAGUCCACCCUUGAUUCCUAAUCCAUUUCAACCACCAAGUCCACCACUUAUUCCAAAUCCAUUUCAACCUCCUCCAUCAAAUCCACCACUUAUUCCUAAUCCAUUUCAACCUCCCCCAGCAAGUCCUCCACCACUCAUUCCAAAUCCAUUUCAGCCUCCACCAUCAAGUCCACCACCAUCAUUUCCUUUUCCACCAAUAGUAAUACCAGGUUUAACUCCAUCACCACCGCCGC